rnacentral:rRNA from 1 species
GAUGAACGCUGGCGGCGUGCCUAAUACAUGCAAGUCGAGCGAACAGAUAAGGAGCUUGCUCCUUUGACGUUAGCGGCGGACGGGUGAGUAACACGUGGAUCACCUACCUAUAAGACUGGGAUAACUUCGGGAAACCGGAGCUAAUACCGGAUAAGAUCUUGAACCGCAUGGUUCAAUAGUGAAAGACGGCGUUGCUGUCACUUAUAGAUGGAUCCGCGCCGUAUUAGCUAGUUGGUAAGGUAACGGCUUACCAAGGCAACGAUACGUAGCCGACCGGAGAGGGUGAUAGGCCACACUGGAAGUGGGACGCGCACCAGACUCCUACGAGAGGCAGCAGUAGGGAAUCUUCCGCAAUGGGCGAAAGCCUGACAGAACAGCGCCGCGUGAGUGAUGACGGUCUUCGGAUCGUAAAACUCUGUUAUCAGGGAAGAACCAACGUGGAAGUAACUGUGCACGUCUUGACGGUACCUGAUCAGAAAGCCACGGCUAACUACGUG